GGGAAAUGCUAUUAAUAACGGCCAAGACGUUCGUUCACGACACAGUGGAGGCUGGAUGCUUCCACAUGGGGAAGGGCUAAGGGAAACUUGCAUCUCUCUUCCUGCUGUAUUCUGAGAAGGUGGGUUCUGGAGUCUAGAGUUUCCAAGAGCCAGCACUGGUGCUUUCCACGCAUUCCCAUUUGCCACGGUCCUGCCUUCUUUAGCAUUCCCUAACACCUCAACAAGUCUGUCCUUCUGAUCUCCUGGUUUCCUUAGUCCCUUCGGGCCUUCCCUUUUCUUUCCUGGUCUUUCUUUGUCCCAGAGUUUCUCUUGCUAUCUUGUAUCUGGCUGUGUGCAUCUAUCUUUCUCUAGAAAACUCUAUCUGUUUUGUUCUUUCAACAUGUGACCUUGACCCACUUCCGUUCCGUCCUCACCACUCUCAUCUGGGUCCUAGAAGCUUGAAGCGCCUUGCAGUCUACAGCCUGAGAUAAGUCGUAUUCUGGGAAGUGUGUUGAGGAAUGAUUAAAUUGGCAGUGUGUUUUGAGACGAAAGGGACAGCCUAAUGAUACCGUUGGCAUGCAUGCACUUUCCAUAAGGCUGGAGAUUUCUCUCUGUUCAAUUGCUAAUUACUCAUAGGCUUUGUGUCUCAUGCUGGGAACCAGCCUUCAAGGAGCAGGGGAGUUUUAGGUAGAAGCAUAAUCCUGUUUCAGGUAACUUUCCUCAGCAGAGAUGAAUCCCCAAGAGGCUGGCAAAGGAGAACUGCAGGUGUCUUGCCCCAGGAAAGCCUUCUGCUUUGGAAGUGUAACUACAGGAAAGCACAAGCCUUCUAGCUUCACAGAUGUCUGCCUGGCACACAGGAAGCUCCUACACUGGACUCCCCACACUGCUGCGGGUCCUUUUCCAUCCUGUGACACCCAGUCAGGCUCCAGUUUUCGUGACUCUCCUGAAGGGCAGCGAUGCUUUAGCUCUCUGCUCAUGGAAGCCCUAAGACCCUGGAGGGAAGCUUGUCAGACUGAAAAGCAGCGUCUGCCAUGCUUCAUGUACCUCUUGCCCAUGGCAGCAUCCGCUUCGUGAUGUCAUCAGGGCUCCAGGCCUUUUUGCUCUGUCUUCCCCAGUCAUCUGACUGCUUCUUUCCCAGGAGAACGUCCUUUGUUUAAGGGAUCCAUGGCUGGUAGCUGCUGGGACUAUCGGCUUCCUUAAACAGAGCCAGAGGAGCAGAAUGUUUGUUCUUACAUUUGAAAACAAAUCUCACUGGUAUCGUUGACUCGUAUCAACAGCAUAAAUUAAUAGAACUCCAUCCGAGUGGUACUCCCACACACGCGGGCAGUGUGCACAGAUGCUGUUCUCUCUUUUAUUCUUGCUUCUUCCCAUGCCCUCUCUGUGGCUCUCCCACUUCCCAGGCCCUAGUCACUGCGCUUGCCCUUCUACUUUCCAGUUGAAGGAACCGGCUUCCCUUUUGGCAGCCAUAAUGGUCGAACAUGUGCUUCUAUGACCUUGUCCUAGAAACCAGAAAGUCAGAUGCCUGUCUCGUGACAAGGAACCUUAGUCACUUAGAGGUCAGAUGCCUGUCUUGUGACAAGGAACCAAUCAGAAGUUAGCUGGUGGCGCUAUGCUUUACGACCCUGGGUGUGCUUUACGGACAAGUGCACAACAAUGAUGUAGAGAGCAUAGCAACCACCCUGGGAGGGCCUAUGGGCCAUAACAACCAGUUGACCAAUCAACACAGGGCAAGCCCUCCAAGCCUGGAAGCACACCAAUCAUGAGCCUGUGCGUAAGCCUAUGCGUACCCCUAGACACUCCCCUUACGCUGCCCUAUAAGAUCUUUUGGGAGCCCGUAGGAGCCGUCUUUUCUAGCCGUCCGCCAUGGCAGGUGGGUGAAAGACCCGAGCUAACAUAGGGUUAGCUCGUUAAAUUACAAUAAAGCCUCGUGCAGUUUGCA
rnacentral:lncRNA from 1 species